rnacentral:rRNA from 1 species
GUGAGGAAUAUUGGGCAAUGGAUGCAAGUCUGACCCAGCCAUCCCGCGUGCCGGAAGAAGGCCCUCAGGGUUGUAAACGGCUUUUGACGGUGAAGAAUCGACAGGAUGCGUCCUGUUUUGACGGUAGCCGUUGAAUAAGUACCGGCUAACUCCGUGCCAGCAGCCGCGGUAAUACGGAGGGUGCGAGCGUUGUCCGGAUUUAUUGGGUUUAAAGGGUGCGUAGGCUGGAAGGUCAGUCAGCGGUGAAAAGCUGUCGCUUAACGAUAGUCUUGCCGCAGAUACUUCCUUUCGUGGAUGAGGAGGAGGCCACUGGAACGGAUGGUGUAGCGGUGAAAUGCAUAGAUAUCAUCCAGAACACCGAUUGCGAAGGCAGGUGGCUGUACCUUAAUCGACGCUGAUGCACGAAAGCAUGGGGAGCAAACAGGAUUAGAAACCCCUGUAGUCC